GCAUGGCAGGGGGAGGUUUUUUUCCCCAGGCAAAUGUAAAUUUGAGCAAGGUCUGACCAAAGACAAAGACAAGCACAUUUGCCUGCCAGGCAAACAAAGCCAGCAGGCGAGCAAGUGGGGAGGAAAGGGUGAUCCCUUAAUCUCAAUGGGAAUGGAGGCUGCAUCCUAAGGAAGCAGAGCCAAUGAGCUUUGGGAGAGAUACCUUUAAAAGGUUUAUUGGACUAUAAAGAGAGGGGCAGAGAGCCCUUUUGUUAUCCUUCACCUGUGCUGACAAGGAAAAUCAGUGUCUCGGACUCUGUGGCCAUCCUGACUAAGGCUUAGUCAGCCAUUGCUGGAAAAGGAAGACUGGCUAUUUUCUUCCUUCAGAUCUGCUCCAUCCUCCUGACACACCUGAGACAUUCUAUCUGGAUAAAUCAAUGUGUUGUACAGAGAAACUUUUGCUGUUGAAGUUGAGAACCAUCUCAAAGUGAACAAUAAAACUCGGGCUAGAGGAUGUUAAUUUC